CGGUUCAUUAAAGCUUUGAUUUUUGAUUGGCUUCCAAGAAAAUCGUAUCCUAUGGUAUAUAUAAAAGUAUAAGUUUAGUAUAGCAUUGCUUAUUAUAUUUUAUGUCUUAAGCCCAAAACACGUGGUUAUUUCUACUUUUCAACCAUGGGGAAGAGCGAUUUGAAUCUUGAUAACCUUGCGGAAAGCAGUCAUUAUUUUGAAGGUGAAACACAUUAUGACAAACGAUGUGGGAGUACGUUUCUCCAGUGGAAACGGGAUUUGUAUGUUCUUCUUCGGAAAUGUACAUGUCCGAUGAAAGAAGAUAAGACUAACAUUGAUAUUGCCUACCUUGAAAGCAUAAAAAGCUUUCCAGUGGAUGGUAUUGCAAUUAGUCAAAAUCCGAACAUGAGAAUUGUCGGAGAACGUCAAUUCGGAACCAAAGAAGAUUGCUACAAAUUUGUGAUAAAGCAUGAUUGAACGUAAAGGAUAAUGACAUCACUAAAUGGAAAAAGAUUCAAACUGCGUUUCAUAGAAGCAUUGGAAUGUUUGCCAUCUUCAAAAAGAAGCAUGAUACCUUGAUAACAGCUGGUGCUCUACGAUGGAGGAAGGAAGAAACUAGCCAAUGUCUCCAAGUGAUCACGAAACUACUUAACAAUGACAGAACGAUCUUAAAUUUUUGAACAUUAUAUUAUGACUUUUAUAAAUAAAUACGUAGAACACUAA